rnacentral:rRNA from 1 species
GACGAACCGUACGAACGUUAUUCGGAAUCACUGGGCUUAAAGGGUGCGUAGGCGGCGCUGAAAGUUGGGUGUGAAAUCCCUCGGCUCAACCGAGGAACUGCAUUCAAAACUACAGUGCUUGAGGGAGAUAGAGGUGAGCGGAACUUAGGGUGGAGCGGUGAAAUGCGUUGAUAUCCUAAGGAACACCCGUGGCGAAAGCGGCUCACUGGGUCUCUUCUGACGCUGAGGCACGAAAGCAGGGAGCGAACGGGAGUUAGAAAACCC